rnacentral:rRNA from 1 species
GAUGAACGCUGGCGGCGUGCCUAAUACAUGCAAGUCGAGCGAACGGACGAGAAGCUUGCUUCUCUGAUGUUAGCGGCGGACGGGUGAGUAACACGUGGAUAACCUACCUAUAAGACUGGGAUAACUUCGGGAAACCGGAGCUAAUACCGGAUAAUAUUUUGAACCGCAUGGUUCAAAAGUGAAAGACGGUCUUGCUGUCACUUAUAGAUGGAUCCGCGCUGCAUUAGCUGGUUGGUAAGGUAACGGCUUACCAAGGCAACGAUGCAUAGCCGACCUGAGAGGGUGAUCGGCCACACUGGAACUGAGACACGGUCCAGACUCCUACGGGAGGCAGCAGUAGGGAAUCUUCCGCAAUGGGCGAAAGCCUGACGGAGCAACGCCGCGUGAGUGAUGAAGGUCUUCGGAUCGUAAAACUCUGUUAUUAGGGAAGAACAUAUGUGUAAGUAACUGUGCACAUCUUGACGGUACCUAAUCAGAAAGCCACGGCUAACUACGUGCCAGCAGCCGCGGUAAUACGUAGGUGGCAAGCGUUAUCCGGAAUUAUUGGGCGUAAAGCGCGCGUAGGCGGUUUUUUAAGUCUGAUGUGAAAGCCCACGGCUCAACCGUGGAGGGUCAUUGGAAACUGGAAAACUUGAGUGCAGAAGAGGAAAGUGGAAUUCCAUGUGUAGCGGUGAAAUGCGCAGAGAUAUGGAGGAACACCAGUGGCGAAGGCGACUUUCUGGUCUGUAACUGACGCUGAUGUGCGAAAGCGUGGGGAUCAAACAGGAUUAGAUACCCUGGUAGUCCACGCCGUAAACGAUGAGUGCUAAGUGUUAGGGGGUUUCCGCCCCUUAGUGCUGCAGCUAACGCAUUAUGCACUCCGCCUGGGGAGUACGACCGCAAGGUUGAAACUCAAAGGAAUUGACGGGGACCCGCACAAGCGGUGGAGCAUGUGGUUUAAUUCGAAGCAACGCGAAGAACCUUACCAAAUCUUGACAUCCUUUGACAACUCUAGAGAUAGAGCCUUCCCCUUCGGGGGACAAAGUGACAGGUGGUGCAUGGUUGUCGUCAGCUCGUGUCGUGAGAUGUUGGGUUAAGUCCCGCAACGAGCGCAACCCUUAAGCUUAGUUGCCAUCAUUAAGUUGGGCACUCUAAGUUGACUGCCGGUGACAAACCGGAGGAAGGUGGGGAUGACGUCAAAUCAUCAUGCCCCUUAUGAUUUGGGCUACACACGUGCUACAAUGGACAAUACAAAGGGCAGCGAAACCGCGAGGUCAAGCAAAUCCCAUAAAGUUGUUCUCAGUUCGGAUUGUAGUCUGCAACUCGACUACAUGAAGCUGGAAUCGCUAGUAAUCGUAGAUCAGCAUGCUACGGUGAAUACGUUCCCGGGUCU